CCUACGGGAGGCAGCAGUGAGGAAUAUUGGUCAAUGGACGAGAGUCUGAACCAGCCAAGUAGCGUGCAGGACGACGGCCCUCUGGGUUGUAAACUGCUUUUAGUUGGGAAUAAAAAGAGGGACGUGUCCCUAAUUGUAUGUACCAUCAGAAAAAGGACCGGCUAAUUCCGUGCCAGCAGCCGCGGUAAUA
rnacentral:rRNA from 1 species